UCGGCUGCACCGGUAUUUUGCCGGCUGGUU
rnacentral:piRNA from 1 species